UUGGAAUCAUCGAAGCCAUGUGGUGUGUGCGUGUGUGUGAGAGAGAGAAAGGAACGAAAAUGAGAAAGAAAAUUGGGAAAAUGUUUGUUAUAUGAAGCUAUGAUAUGGUGUGUAUGUGUUAGUAUGUGUUGUAGCAGCUGAAUGAUGUGUGAUAAUAAUGGAAGGGAACAAUGUGUGAAACAUGAGGUUAUGAUCUUCACUGUCGAUAAAUAUUUGGGGUGAUACUCACCGCUGAAAAUGUUUUGAAGGAAUAAUAAAGGGAUAAGGAUUACAUUUUCCUUCCUAUCAGAAAUAAAAAGAGAAGACUGUAAUGAUAUUCACUACGAUAUAUAAAAUAUUUUUUUCCACGAUAAUUCAAUAAACAAUUACUCCCUCCAGCCUCAUAUAUAAGCUAAAGUAACUUUUUAUAUUUAUUGGGAAAGUGGUGUAUUUGGUCAAUAUUUUAGACUAAAUACAUUCAUUUUACGAUGAAUAUAAAAAAGUUACUUUUGUUUAUAUAUGGGGUCGGAGGGGAUAUCAUUUUGCAAUAUCAUAUCAAGAAAGUGAUGUGAAAUGGGGUGAUAUGACGAAAAAUAUGGUUGAUAAAAAAAUGUUUUGCAUAUUCCUUUUUCUCAUAAGAAAAUGUUUAGAGAAAAUGUUUAGGAAAAUUUUAUAAUCAUUUAUAUCUUUUUUUUUAUUUGUUAUUUACCACAAGUUUAAUCUCGUUCGGGAGUCCGUAGGUGGUUUCGGCCCCUCACGAUUGUCGUUGUGGGAAUAGGACCGCCUAUCAAAUUCAUCGUCAAUCAACUCUAGAACACGAUCGAUAAAUCAUCGUAAAUUUUAUUUGAAACCGUUUCAAACCCUUCAUCCAACGUAAAUUGAAAACAAAUUUAUCUUCAUGUCUCUAAUACAUCAACCCUAUUCAUCAAUUUGAUAUUUCCUAUUAAUUCAAACUCUCCAAUAUAGAGUCUGUUUGGUAAAAAUAAGCUAUAAGCUAGCUGAUAGCUGAUAAGCUAGCUGAUAGCUGAAAAACUAGCUUAUAGCUGAUAGCUGAAAAGCUAGCUUAUUGAAAUUAAAGUGUUUGGUAAAAUUAGCUUUUAAAGUGGUUAUUAAAUAUAAAAUUACAUAAUUGAUAGUGGGUAGUUUAUUUUUUAGAGUGAGUAAUUAUUAAAUUAAGGGGGUAAAUAUGGAAUAAAAUGUAAAAAGCUAUAAGCUAUAAGCUCAAAUGCUACUUGAAAUAGCAUCUGAAAAAAAGCUAUAAGCUAGUACAAAAAACUUGUUACCAAAUACCUCUAAUUUUUUGAAACAAGCUUAUAAGCUCAUAUAAUAAGCUAUAAGCUAGCUUAUUUGUGUUACCGAACUGAGCCAUACUUAUUUAACCCUAUCAUUAUUUAUCAUUGUUCCAAUACCUAUCAACUCCAAACGCUUAUUCCGCUUACCCCUCGUCUCACUCGGAGCUCAAUCCGUUCGUUCCCUUCUCUUCUCUCUUAUGACGACAACUAAGUCAGCAGAGCACAUACCGUCACAACAUUACAUCACACAACAGGAAUAUGUUUGAAGUACUAUGUUAUUGUAUUUUUUGGGUAAAUAAUUGUUGUUUCUUUAUAAGUAAUAGUCAUAUUCAAACCCACUUGGGGUUGGUCGAGUGGUGUUGGCUUGGCCCCUUGGAGUAUGCUCCUUCAAUUCUCACUGGUGCCAAAUUCGGUGUCCAUUCAGAG
rnacentral:lncRNA from 1 species